rnacentral:rRNA from 1 species
UACGUAGGGGGCAAGCGUUGUCCGGAUUUAUUGGGCGUAAAGAGCGUGUAGGCGGUUUGGUAGGUCCGCUGUGAAAACUCGAGGCUCAACCUCGAGACGCCGGUGGAAACCAUCAGACUAGAGUCCGGAAGAGGAGAGUGGAAUUCCUGGUGUAGCGGUGAAAUGCGCAGAUAUCGGGAGGAACACCUGUGGCGAAAGCGGCUCACUGGACCACAACUGACGCUGAGGCGGCGAAAGCUAGGGGAGCAAACAGG